rnacentral:lncRNA from 1 species
UUUCACAUUUCUUAGCUACCGAACUCUUUAAAACACUUGACUUGGAAAGUAGGUUGAUCAAUUGCUUGAGCUCGUUGAUGUUCAAGUUCUUCUAUUUUCCUACUCACAAGCUCGAAUUAGCACAUUUUUUCCUUGUCAAUGCCAAUUUUGGAUAAAAUUCAGUGUAUAUAUAUUGUACAUGGAAAGAUUGUCCUUGUAUGCAAAGAUAUGCAUUGGCAUAUCCACCAAUUGAAACAAGAUGGAAAAUGGCAUCU